CACCUCUCAGGGUCGCACCUGGAGAGUUUCCAGUCCUCUACCAGUCUAGAUUACGGGAGGGAUAGUCAAGCAGAGGCAUAUCCAUCCCAUUCCUAGCCUGGCCAGUGGCUAGCGAGUGGAGGGCAAUCUGCUACUAGU